rnacentral:lncRNA from 1 species
CUGCACGACCUGUACUUCAGUCACCAGACACUCCUCCAGGCCGGCUUUGCCCGCCUCCCAGACCACCUGCAGAGACGAGAGGAGGCAGGGGUCACACUGGAAACAAGCGACGCUCGCGGACGCCCUCGAGGGCUCACCUUCUGCAGAUCACGAAGACACAGACCAGGGCCAGCAGCGUCCCCAGCGCGAUCAGCAGCGACGUCCGCCAGGCCACCUGAGUACCAGGACCGGGAGCGACUUCCGGACCUCCCAGCCCCAGUCUGGAACCCUAAGGGAGCGGAAAGACCACCAGGGAUCCCUGUCUGCCUGGUGCUCGGGACACGGGGAGCGCCAGGGACUUCCACUGUGCCCAGCAGGCCGGCAGAGACCGGGUUUCACCGUGUUAGCCGGGAUGGUCUCGAUCUCCUGACCUUGUGAUCCGCCCGCCUCGGUCUUUAUUACAAGGCCCAGGGGGUGUCUGUCAGUGGGACGACCUUGUUUCCCCUCCACGUCUCCUCUCGUGAGUAAGAGCAAGCUGAUUGAGUAGCUGGAAGGAGGUUCUGUCUCUGACCUGUGGUUUGAAAGAAAAUAAAGAAGAGGGGCCAGAUACUUCAAAUUACUUCUCCUAUGCAUUUGGAGAGCGGGAGAGAAAAACACCAGGAAGGAAGAGGGAACAAAGAAACUCUACAGGCAGAGACACAGGACUGAGCCGCGUUGGGGGCACUGGGAGGAGUGAGCCUUGGGGUUGCACCCUCGGAGCCCCACUGUCCUGGGAGCAGCCUUCAGAACCACCCUUUUGUUCUCUGAAGUACCAGGCGUUCAGCUUUUCCAAGGACUGGCAGCUGCACAUCUUUGUCCCUGCCCCUUCCAUCUCUAGGCUCAGCCCCGCUGGGCAGCCUGGCCCACUCCCCACCCCUGCCCAGGGCCAACCCCUACUUCCCAUGCCCCCUCUGCCCACCUGCAGCACACUGGAGCCUUGGAGGCCCUCUCUGCAUCAUUCAAGAUGCAGACUCCUACACUUUGACCUGCACACAUCCUCCUGAAGCUUCCACUUCCUGGCCCCUGCCUGGCUUCUCACCUCCCCCACCUCCGCCCCCCAGGGGAUGUGCCGCCUCUCCCAGUGGCCCAGGACAUCCUCCACUUCCCGGGAACCCCAGGCACUUCCACAUCCUCAGACACAGUGAGAAGAUGACCCUCUCUCCAAGCCAGGAAGAGACCUCCCGAGGAGCCCAGCCAGCCAGCACGCUGACCUCCAACGUCCAGCCUCUGGAAAUGGGAUACCGAAGGCUGCGCUCCUGCCCCGCACCAGGAUGUGGGAACUUUGAGAACCGCUGGAGAGUCGAGAGAUGUCAUCGAAACGACACCCGAUACGUGUUCCCUGAGCAUCCGUUUUGUAGUGAAGACACUCGUACUGUUGACGCCUGCUGCGGUAAGCGGAGACAGGGCAGGGCGAUCAGGAGCAGCGUGAGCCAAAGGAGGACCAUCGGGAACGCAGCUCCGGAACGCAGGACAGAGGUGCCUGCUGCAGGAGAAACGAGAGUCAGGCAGCGGGGACUGGCUGUGAAACUGGGUUGCGGGUAAUGAAGGAUGCUUGCCCCUUCCAGAGCCUGGUGCUCACAGCAGAAGGAGCUGCUUCUGGAGGGAAAGCGGUGAACAUUGUCACGACCCCAAAAGGAGACUCCAGACCCAUUAAAGACCCGUCCUUCCUCUUCCCCAGCCUGUGGCAACCACUCAUCCACUUUCUGUCUCUGUGGAUUUGCCUGUAUCUGGACAUAGGGAAUAAAUGGAAUCAUACAGACACUAUGUAUCUUUUUGUAUCUGGCCUCUCUCAGGAAGCAUGAUGUCCUCAGCAUUCACCCACAUUGCCACCUGUGGCAGAGCCUCGUUCCUUUUCAUGGCUGUGUAAUAUUCCACCGUGUGGCUGGACCACAUUAUAUUUCUCCAUUCAUCUAUAGAUGGGUAUGAGGACUCUCUCCACCUCUUGGCUAGUGUGAAUAAAGCUGCUUAUUCCUUUUCAUGGCUGUGUAAUAUUCCACCGUGUGGCUGGACCACAUUAUAUUUCUCCAUUCAUCUAUAGAUGGGGUAUGAGGGCUGUCUCCACCUCUUGGCUAUUGUGAAUAAAGCUGCUUGUUCCUUUUCAUGGCUGUGUAAUAUUCCACUGUGUGGAUGGACAUUAUAUUUUUCCAUUCAUCUAUAGAUGGGUAUGAGGGCUGUCUCCACCUCUUGGCUAUUGUGAAUAAAGCUGCUUGUUCCUUUUCAUGGCUGUGUAAUAUUCCACUGUGUGGAUGGACAUUAUAUUUCUCCCUUCAUCUAUAGAUGGGGGUAUGAGGGCUGUCUCCACCUCUUGGCUAUUGUGAAUAAAGCUGCUUGUUCCUUUUCAUGGCUGUAUAAUAUUCCACUGUGUGUCUGGACCACAUUAUAUUUCUCCAUUCAUCUAUAGAUGGGUACGAGGGCUGUCUCCACCUCUUGGCUAUUGUGAAUAAAGCUGCUUGUUCCUUUUCAUGGCUGUAUAAUAUUCCACUGUGUGGCUGGACCACAUUAUAUUUCUCCAUUCAUCUAUAGAUGGGUAUGAGGGCUGUCUCCACCUCUUGGCUAUUGUGAAUAAAGCUGCUUGUUCCUUUUCAUGGCUGUGUAAUAUUCCACUGUGUGGCUGGACCACAUUAUAUUUAUCCAUUCGUCUAUAGAUGGGUAUGAGGGCUGUCUCCACCUCUUGGCUAUUGUGAAUAAAGCUGCUUGUUCCUUUUCAUGGCUGUGUAAUAUUCCACCGUGUGGCUGGACCACAUUAUAUUUAUCCAUUCGUCUAUAGAUGGGUAUGAGGGCUGUCUCCACCUCUUGGCUAUUGUGAAUAAAGCUGCUUGUUCCUUUUCA